rnacentral:rRNA from 1 species
GACAGAGGUGCCGAGCGUUAGGCGGAAUCACUGGGCUUAAAGCGUGUGUAGGCGGAUUCCUAAGUACCUUGUGAAAUCCCACGGCUUAACCGUGGAACUGCUUGGUAUACUGGGUGUCUUGAGCCAACUAGAGGCAGUCGGAACAAACGGUGGAGCGGUGAAAUGCGUAGAUAUCGUUUGGAACGCCAAUGGUGAAAACAGACUGCUGGGGUUGUGGCUGACGCUGAGACACGAAAGCCAGGGGAGCG